GAAGUCCAUUGAACCUUAUCAUUUAGAGGAAGGAGAAGUCGUAACAAGGUUUCCGUAGGUGAACUUGCGGAGGGAUCCAUUG
rnacentral:rRNA from 1 species